rnacentral:rRNA from 1 species
AGAGCGAACGCUGGCGGCAGGCCUAAUACAUGCAAGUCGAACGCACCUUCGGGUGAGUGGCGGACGGGUGAGUAACACGUGGGAACGUGCCUUUUGGUUCGGAAUAAUCCGGGGAAACCUGGCCUAAUACCGGAUGUGCCCUUCGGGGGAAAGAUUUAUCGCCAUUAGAGCGGCCCGCGUCUGAUUAGCUAGUUGGUGAGGUAACGGCCCACCAAGGCGACGAUCAGUAGCUGGUCUGAGAGGAUGAUCAGCCACACUGGGACUGAGACACGGCCCAGACUCCUACGGGAGGCAGCAGUAGGGAAUCUUGCGCAAUGGGCGAAAGCCUGACGCAGCCAUGCCGCGUGAAUGAUGAAGGUCUUAGGAUUGUAAAAUUCUUUCAGCGGGAAGAUAAUGACUGUACCCGCAGAAGAAGCUCGGCUAACUCGCGCAGCAGCCGC